rnacentral:rRNA from 1 species
AGCGAACGCUGGCGGCAGGCUUAACACAUGCAAGUCGAGCGGGCGUAGCAAUACGUCAGCGGCAGACGGGUGAGUAACGCGUGGGAACAUACCUUUUGGUUCGGAACAACACAGGGAAACUUGUGCUAAUACCGGAUAAGCCCUUACGGGGAAAGAUUUAUCGCCGAAAGAUUGGCCCGCGUCUGAUUAGCUAGUUGGUGAGGUAACGGCUCACCAAGGCGACGAUCAGUAGCUGGUCUGAGAGGAUGAUCAGCCACAUUGGGACUGAGACACGGCCCAAACUCCUACGGGAGGCAGCAGUGGGGAAUAUUGGACAAUGGGCGCAAGCCUGAUCCAGCCAUGCCGCGUGAGUGAUGAAGGCCCUAGGGUUGUAAAGCUCUUUUGUGCGGGAAGAUAAUGACGGUACCGCAAGAAUAAGCCCCGGCUAACUUCGUGCCAGCAGCCGCAGUAAU